GAGUUUGAUCUUGGCUCAGGAUGAACGCUAGCGGCAGGCUUAACACAUGCAAGUCGAGGGGCAGCGGGGAGGAAGCUUGCUUUCUCCGCCGGCGACCGGCGCACGGGUGAGUAACACGUAUGCAACCUGCCCCUGUCAGGGGACAACCCGCCGAAAGGCGGGCUAAACCCGCGUACAUGCCACCGGGGCAUCCCGGAGGCAGGAAAGGCUUCGGCCGGACAGGGAUGGGCAUGCGGCGCAUUAGGCAGUAGGCGGGGUAACGGCCCACCUAACCGACGAUGCGUAGGGGUUCUGAGAGGAAGGUCCCCCACACUGGUACUGAGACACGGACCAGACUCCUACGGGAGGCAGCAGUGAGGAAUAUUGGUCAAUGGUCGGGAGACUGAACCAGCCAAGCCGCGUGAGGGAGGAAGGUACAGAGUAUCGUAAACCUCUUUUGUCAGGGAACAAAGGCGGGACGUGUCCCCGGAUGAGUGUACCUGAAGAAAAAGCAUCGGCUAACUCCGUGCCAGCCGCCGCCGU
rnacentral:rRNA from 1 species